CGGGCGCGCCUCUGCGGGAGAGUCCCAAGUCUGAGCUGCGGAGGGAGUGAGGCCUAGAAGGGGCUGCGGUGCGGGAGACACGCGGCCCAGCGCCCCACUCUGGGGACACUCCACUCCUCCAAUUUAUUCCCGAGUAUUUGGAACCCUUCCUGUGCUCCAGGCGGUGUCGUGAGACUAAAGAGAGGACAAGAUCGCCUCUCGCCCCGGCAGAGUUCGCAGUCUAGAAAGGGAAACCGACUCACAGGCAACUACCACCGGCAUCCAAGAGCGGGCGGUCACAGACGGGGCUCCAGAUCCAGACUCCGGGGAGAUCGGGGAAGGCUGCUGGCGGAGCUAAGUGCGGUGCGGAAGAAGAGGGUGCUGGACCGUCUGAGUCCCCUCCUCACUUCUGUCCAGGUCUGCCACAUUUCUAAGGGUUUGGUGCCCAUAUCUGAGAUGACGACAUGGAAGCUCAGAAGCUCCCGAGCGUGAGAAGUCUCAAGGCUGGUAAGGGGGCACUCGGCUCCCCUCCCACUGCCCAGCGCAGCGCCUGGGGCAGAGCGCGCUGGCUGGAGGCACAGCCGGAUGGAUGGAUGACUCAGGACCACCGCAGCUUAGCUGUGCCCGGGGCAGCUUCCAGCCGGGUCAGAGCCAUCAGGCCACAUUGCAAGCCUUUAGACAUGGAAUUUAUCUUUCUUUUGGAUUACUUCUUUCUGUCAGCGGGACUAACAGUCACGGGUUCUCUGAAGCCAAAAACCCGGGUCAUCCUGGCCUUUCCUGGACCUCCACCUCCGACCGCUGGUCCACCCCAAAGCCCUACGCAUUCCGCCUCCCAGCCGCCUCCUUCGCCUGGCUGUGCCCUGUGGUCGCUGCUGCAGUUCAGGCCUGGUCCGCCGCCAUCCUCCCCAAACUGCUGUGUCUGGCUCCAGGGUUCUACCCACUCGUCUCAGCUGUUCUCUGCUCUGCAUCCGCAGCGAUCUUCUGAAAGUGAAAAUUUAAUCAUCUAACUCGCCUGCUUACAACCCUUCUGUCGGUCCCGUUUGAUCUCAAGACAGAACCUAACUGACUAACUCAGUGCGCAGCCGAUAAAGCCCUUCCAGAUCUGCCCCUCCACCGCCCCCUCAUGGUCCAAACCUCACCUUCCUCUCCAGCCCCCCCAGAGGACUGGGAACCCCAAGCCCUCCCCUUGUCUUAGGAUACCAUUCCUCCCAGCGACCUGGAGAACUCCUCCUCCUCCUUCAAGACCAGUGCCUGCUUCCUCUAGGACUGCUUUCCGAGCCCUCCAGGAGACCAGGCCCCUCUUCUGGACAUUUAACACCCUUCCCCUCCAUUGGCACUGUGGCGCUUCAGGCAUGCUGCACAGCUGCGGGUGUCUUUGUCGCCGAAGCAGCAGCGCCGCUGAAACAGCAGCACCCCUUCCUUUACCUAUCAUUUCAC